GUGGGGAAUCUUCCGCAAUGGACGAAAGUCUGACGGAGCAACGCCGCGUGAGUGAUGAAGGUCUUCGGAUUGUAAAGCUCUGUUAAUCGGGACGAAAGAGCCUAGUGUGAAUAAUGCUAGGAAGUGACGGUACCGGAAUAGAAAGCCACGGCUAACUACGUGCCAGCAGCCGCGGUAAUACGUAGGUGGCAAGCGUUGUCCGGAAUUAUUGGGCGUAAAGCGCGCGCAGGCGGAUCUGCCAGUCUGUCUUAAAAGUUCGGGGCUUAACCCCGUGAUGGGAUGGAAACUACAGAUCUAGAGUAUCGGAGAGGAAAGUGGAAUUCCUAGUGUAGCGGUGAAAUGCGUAGAUAUUAGGAAGAACACCAGUGGCGAAGGCGGCUUACUGGACGAUAACUGACGCUGAGGCGCGAAAGCCAGGGGAGCGAACGGGAUUAGAAACCCCGGUAGUCC
rnacentral:rRNA from 1 species